UGCAGUGUGGCAAAGCGGUCAAGCGUAGGGCUCAUAACCCAAAGGUUGCUGAUUCAAUUCCCAGAUGGGCCACUGCUG